CGCCCCCAGGGCAGGGCCGGCCCCGCUCCUUCUUCUCCAUAAAUCCCUCCCAACACUCCAAGGAAACAAGAGUUCAUCUUCCUCCAUAGUAUUCUGAGUACCCCAGGUGCUUUGCUUCUUUAGGUGAAAUUUGUUGUUUCUCUUAAUUUUCUUUGGAGGUUUGGCUCUCUGAUUCAUUUGUAUGCCAUCGUUGCACACUGGCCAUAAAAAAAUCCUGCCAAGUGUUAUGAGGGAAAACAAAGCACAGCUGCAGACUGGGACAGACAAUAAGGAAGGUGAACCAAGCAGGUGUGGGCUCCCACAAAUCGGGGCAGCUCUGGGGUGUGAGAUCACCAGCCUUUGUGUGCCUUUGGAGAUGGGCAGGAAGAAUUUGUAAUCCCAGGACUGAGGAACAUCAGGAACUAAAGAGGCAUUUCGCAAUGUGAGGUACUCCAUGAGGAAGGGGAUGUAAAAAAUCAGGCAUCUGCAGGGAACAAACAAGAGCUUGUGGCUCUAUGAUGACCCAGGGACUUGCAGUGAGGACAGAGGAUUGCCAGAAGUGUCAGGUAUUAGGACUCACAUCUUCAGAAGUUCUGAUCUGUGCAGCAAGGGAGUGAGUCCUCAGAAAUCUGAAAAGGAUAAUGGUGACAAGUGCUAUAUGCAGAUUUCCUACUGCAACCAGUAGCAGCUUGCAUGCACAAAGAUUUCAGAAGUGGGCAUCCUUUCCUUUUCCUUCCCAAGUUUUAUUAAUUUGACCAAAGACUAUGUGGCUUCAGCCUUAACAGAAAACAAUAAAAUUCUGGGAUGAUUUAGGCUGGAACAACCUCUGAGUGACUUGUCUAAUCCAAAUCAUUCCAUUUCAAUCCAAAUUGAUUUCAUUAUCCCUAAGUCAUUUAUUUAAAUAAAUGGAGUCAGGAGA